UUUUUAUUAUUUUUUUUUUUAAUGCAAUAAGUGAAGAUUAUUUGUUUGAAAUUUGUUUUUUUUUUUUCAAAUCCAAACCCAAAUAAAUAAUCCUCAUUUAUUGCAUUAAAAAAAAAAAAAUAAAAU
rnacentral:pre_miRNA from 1 species